AGAUUGAACGCUGGCGGCAUGCCUUACACAUGCAAGUCGAACGGCAGCACGGGAGCAAUCCUGGUGGCGAGUGGCGAACGGGUGAGUAAUACAUCGGAACGUGCCCAAUCGUGGGGAUAACGCAGCGAAAGCUGUGCUAAUACCGCAUAAGAUCUACGGAUGAAAGCGAGGGAUCGGACAAGUACCUUGCGACGAAUGGACGCGGCCGAUCGGCAGUAGUUAGGUAGUUGGU
rnacentral:rRNA from 1 species